GUCAGAGGCGAUGAAGGACGUGCUAAUCUGCGAUAAGCGUCGGUAAGGUGAUAUGAACCGUUAUAACCGGCGAUUUCCGAAUGGGGAAACCCAGUGUGUUUCGACACACUAUCAUUAACUGAAUCCAUAGGUUAAUGAGGCGAACCGGGGGAACUGAAACAUCUAAGUACCCCGAGGAAAAGAAAUCAACCGAGAUUCCCCCAGUAGCGGCGAGCGAACGGGGAGCAGCCCAGAGCCUGAAUCAGUGUGUGUGUUAGUGGAAGCGUCUGGAAAGGCGCGCGAUACAGGGUGACAGCCCCGUACACAAAAAUGCACAUGCUGUGAGCUCGAUGAGUAGGGCGGGACACGUGGUAUCCUGUCUGAAUAUGGGGGGACCAUCCUCCAAGGCUAAAUACUCCUGACUGACCGAUAGUGAACCAGUACCGUGAGGGAAAGGCGAAAAGAACCCCGGCGAGGGGAGUGAAAAAGAACCUGAAACCGUGUACGUACAAGCAGUGGGAGCACGCUUAGGCGUGUGACUGCGUACCUUUUGUAUAAUGGGUCAGCGACUUAUAUUCUGUAGCAAGGUUAACCGAAUAGGGGAGCCGAAGGGAAACCGAGUCUUAACUGGGCGUUAAGUUGCAGGGUAUAGACCCGAAACCCGGUGAUCUAGCCAUGGGCAGGUUGAAGGUUGGGUAACACUAACUGGAGGACCGAACCGACUAAUGUUGAAAAAUUAGCGGAUGACUUGUGGCUGGGGGGGAAAGGCCAAUCAAACCGGGAGAUAGCUGGUUCUCCCCGAAAGCUAUUUAGGUAGCGCCUCGUGAAUUCAUCUCCGGGGGUAGAGCACUGUUUCGGCAAGGGGGUCAUCCCGACUUACCAACCCGAUGCAAACUGCGAAUACCGGAGAAUGUUAUCACGGGAGACACACGGCGGGUGCUAACGUCCGUCGUGAAGAGGGAAACAACCCAGACCGCCAGCUAAGGUCCCAAAGUCAUGGUUAAGUGGGAAACGAUGUGGGAAGGCCCAGACAGCCAGGAUGUUGGCUUAGAAGCAGCCAUCAUUUAAAGAAAGCGUAAUAGCUCACUGGUCGAGUCGGCCUGCGCGGAAGAUGUAACGGGGCUAAACCAUGCACCGAAGCUGCGGCAGCGACGCUGAUGCGUUGUUGGGUAGGGGAGCGUUCUGUAAGCCUGCGAAGGUGUGCUGUGAGGCAUGCUGGAGGUAUCAGAAGUGCGAAUGCUGACAUAAGUAACGAUAAAGCGGGUGAAAAGCCCGCUCGCCGGAAGACCAAGGGUUCCUGUCCAACGUUAAUCGGGGCAGGGUGAGUCGACCCCUAAGGCGAGGCCGAAAGGCGUAGUCGAUGGGAAACAGGUUAAUAUUCCUGUACUUGGUGUUACUGCGAAGGGGGGACGGAGAAGGCUAUGUUGGCCGGGCGACGGUUGUCCCGGUUUAAGCGUGUAGGCUGGUUUUCCAGGCAAAUCCGGAAAAUCAAGGCUGAGGCGUGAUGACGAGGCACUACGGUGCUGAAGCAACAAAUGCCCUGCUUCCAGGAAAAGCCUCUAAGCAUCAGGUAACAUCAAAUCGUACCCCAAACCGACACAGGUGGUCAGGUAGAGAAUACCAAGGCGCUUGAGAGAACUCGGGUGAAGGAACUAGGCAAAAUGGUGCCGUAACUUCGGGAGAAGGCACGCUGAUAUGUAGGUGAAGUCCCUUGCGGAUGGAGCUGAAAUCAGUCGAAGAUACCAGCUGGCUGCAACUGUUUAUUAAAAACACAGCACUGUGCAAACACGAAAGUGGACGUAUACGGUGUGACGCCUGCCCGGUGCCGGAAGGUUAAUUGAUGGGGUUAGCGCAAGCGAAGCUCUUGAUCGAAGCCCCGGUAAACGGCGGCCGUAACUAUAACGGUCCUAAGGUAGCGAAAUUCCUUGUCGGGUAAGUUCCGACCUGCACGAAUGGCGUAAUGAUGGCCAGGCUGUCUCCACCCGAGACUCAGUGAAAUUGAACUCGCUGUGAAGAUGCAGUGUACCCGCGGCAAGACGGAAAGACCCCGUGAACCUUUACUAUAGCUUGACACUGAACAUUGAGCCUUGAUGUGUAGGAUAGGUGGGAGGCUUUGAAGUGUGGACGCCAGUCUGCAUGGAGCCGACCUUGAAAUACCACCCUUUAAUGUUUGAUGUUCUAACGUUGACCCGUAAUCCGGGUUGCGGACAGUGUCUGGUGGGUAGUUUGACUGGGGCGGUCUCCUCCUAAAGAGUAACGGAGGAGCACGAAGGUUGGCUAAUCCUGGUCGGACAUCAGGAGGUUAGUGCAAUGGCAUAAGCCAGCUUGACUGCGAGCGUGACGGCGCGAGCAGGUGCGAAAGCAGGUCAUAGUGAUCCGGUGGUUCUGAAUGGAAGGGCCAUCGCUCAACGGAUAAAAGGUACUCCGGGGAUAACAGGCUGAUACCGCCCAAGAGUUCAUAUCGACGGCGGUGUUUGGCACCUCGAUGUCGGCUCAUCACAUCCUGGGGCUGAAGUAGGUCCCAAGGGUAUGGCUGUUCGCCAUUUAAAGUGGUACGCGAGCUGGGUUUAGAACGUCGUGAGACAGUUCGGUCCCUAUCUGCCGUGGGCGCUGGAGAACUGAGGGGGGCUGCUCCUAGUACGAGAGGACCGGAGUGGACGCAUCACUGGUGUUCGGGUUGUCAUGCCAAUGGCACUGCCCGGUAGCUAAAUGCGGAAGAGAUAAGUGCUGAAAGCAUCUAAGCACGAAACUUGCCCCGAGAUGAGUUCUCCCUGACCCUUUAAGGGUCCUGAAGGAACGUUGAAGACGACGACGUUGAUAGGCCGGGUGUGUAAGCGCAGCGAUGCGUUGAGCUAACCGGUACUAAUGAACCGUGAGGCUUAACCUU
rnacentral:rRNA from 1 species